AUUCUUGGUCAUUUAGAGGAAGUAAAAGUCGUAACAAGGUUUCCGUAGGUGAACCUGCGGAAGGAUCAUUACAGAAAGUAAACGCGGAUCGAACCGCGAACCUCUAAACCUUUGACGAUUGACUCAUGUUGCCUCGGCGGGUUCUCCCGCCAGAGGAUACAUCAAAACUCCUGUUUUAACGGUGUUGUCUGAGCUACAAGCAACGAAUCAAAACUUUCAACAACGGAUCUCUUGGUUCUGGCAUCGAUGAAGAACGCAGCGAAAUGCGAUAAGUAGUGUGAAUUGCAGAAUUCAGUGAAUCAUCGAAUCUUUGAACGCACAUUGCGCCCCUUGGUAUCCCGAGGGGCAUGCCUGUUCGAGCGUCAUUUCACCACUCAAGCCUGGCUUGGUGUUGGGCGACGUCCCCUUUGGGGACGCGCCUCGAAACGCUCGGCGGCGUGGCACCGGCUUUAAGCGUAGCAGAAUCUUUCGCUUUAAAAGUCGGGGCCCCGUCUGCCGGAAGACCUACUCGCAAGGUUGACCUCGGAUCAGGCAGGGAUACCCGCUGAACUUAAGCAUAUCAAUAAGCGGAGGAAAAGAAACCAACCAAUC
rnacentral:rRNA from 1 species